UCGCUGUGAAGAUGCAGUGUACCCGCGGCAAGACGGAAAGACCCCGUGAACCUUUACUAUAGCUUGACACUGAACAUUGAGCCUUGAUGUGUAGGAUAGGUGGGAGGCUUUGAAGUGUGGACGCCAGUCUGCAUGGAGCCGACCUUGAAAUACCACCCUUUAAUGUUUGAUGUUCUAACGUUGACCCGUAAUCCGGGUUGCGGACAGUGUCUGGUGGGUAGU
rnacentral:rRNA from 1 species